AUUGAACGCUAGCGGGAUGCUUUACACAUGCCAGUCGAACGGCAGCGCGGACUUCGGUCUGGCGGCGAGUGGCGAACGGGUGAGUAAUGUAUCGGAACGUGCCCAGUAGCGGGGGAUAACUACGCGAAAGCGUAGCUAAUACCGCAUACGCCCUACGGGGGAAAGCAGGGGAUCGUAAGACCUUGCACUAUUGGAGCGGCCGAUAUCGGGUUAGCUAGUUGGUGAGGUAACGGCUCACCAAGGCGACGAUCCGUAGCUGGUUUGAGAGGACGACCAGCCACACUGGGACUGAGACACGGCCCAGACUCCUACGGGAGGCAGCAGUGGGGAAUUUUGGACAAUGGGGGCAACCCUGAUCCAGCCAUCCCGCGUGUGCGAUGAAGGCCUUCGGGUUGUAAAGCACUUUUGGCAGGAAAGAAACGUCGCGGGCUAAUACCCCGUGGAACUGACGGUACCUGCAGAAUAAGCACCGGCUAACUACGUG
rnacentral:rRNA from 1 species